rnacentral:snRNA from 1 species
GGAUGUGAGGGCAACCUGGCUAUGACAUCUGUCUCCCCACUGAUCGCCAGGGUUGAUUUGGCUGAUCUAGCUGGUUAGGCAAGUGUCUUCCUCAGGCACCACUCCAGGUGCGUCCCGCCCGAAGCUGCAUGCUCUGUCAAAGAGGACGACCUUCCCCUACCGAUGAGAGGACUGUUCUUCCAUCAAGGGUAUAGGAGUAGUUACGCUCCCCUGCUAGAACCUCCAAAAAGCUCUCAAGAACUGGUAAGAAUUUCCACAUAGAAAUUAGUGGAUGAUU